UGUCCGUUUUGGAAGAAGGCAUAGAGGAAGCUAUUUCCAUGAUCUAAAUAACCAUAAAU
rnacentral:sRNA from 1 species